GGGGAUUUAGCUUAGUGGUAGAGCACUUGCCUAGCAAGCUCAAAGCCUGGGUUCGGUCCCCAGCUCCA
rfam:Rattus norvegicus chromosome 1, whole genome shotgun sequence.